AGGGAAUUUUCGUCAAUGGGGGGAACCCUGAACGAGCAAUGCCGCGUGAGUGAGGAAGGUCUUCGGAUCGUAAAGCUCUGUUGUAAGAGAAAAACGGCACUCAUAGGGAAUGAUGAGUGAGUGAUGGUAUCUUACCAGAAAGUCACGGCUAACUACGUGCCAGCAGCCGCGGUAAUACGUAGGUGGCGAGCGUUAUCCGGAAUGAUUGGGCGUAAAGGGUGCGUAGGUGGCAGAUCAAGUCUGGAGUAAAAGGUAUGGGCUCAACCCGUACUGGCUCUGGAAACUGAUCAGCUAGAGAACAGAAGAGGACGGCGGAACUCCAUGUGUAGCGGUAAAAUGCGUAGAUAUAUGGAAGAACACCGGUGGCGAAGGCGGCCGUCUGGUCUGGAUUCUGACACUGAAGCACGAAAGCGUGGGGAGCAAAUAGGAUUAGAUACCCUAGUAGUCCACGCCGUAAACGAUGAGAACUAGGUGUUGGGGGAAUAACUCAGUGCCGCAGUUAACGCAGUAAGUUC
rnacentral:rRNA from 1 species